rnacentral:rRNA from 1 species
CCUACGGGUGGCUGCAGUGAGGAAUCUUGGUCAAUGGACGCAAGUCUGAACCAGCCAUGCCGCGUGCAGGAAGACGGCUCUCUGAGUUGUAAACUGCUUUUGUACAAGGGUACACCUGAAUACGUGUAUUCAGCUGACAGUACUGUACGCUUAAGGAUCGGCUAACUCCGUGCCAGCAGCCGCGGUCAUACGGAGGAUCCAAGCGUUAUCCUGAUUUAUUGGGUUUAAAGGGUACGUAGGCGGAUUGAUAAGUUAGAGGUGAAAUGUCCGGGCUCAACUCGGGAACUGCCUCUAAUUCUGUUGAUCUAGAGAGUAGAUGCGGUAGGCGGAAUGUAUGGUGUAGCGGUGAAAUGCUUAGAGAUCAUACAGAACACCGAUUGCGAAGGCAGCUUACCAAUCUAUAUCUGACGUUGAGGCACGAAAGCGUGGGGAGCAAACAGGAUUAGAUACCCGUGUAGUC